GAUGAACGCUGGCGGCGUGCCUAAUACAUGCAAGUCGAGCGAACGGACGAGAAGCUUGCUUCUCUGAUGUUAGCGGCGGACGGGUGAGUAACACGUGGAUAACCUACCUGUAAGACGGGGAUAACUUCGGGAAACCGGAGCUAAUACCGGAUAAUAUUUUGAACCGCAUGGUUCAAAAGUGAAAGACGGUCUUGCUGUCACUUAUAGAUGGAUCCGCGCUGCAUUAGCUAGUUGGUAAGGUAACGGCUUACCAAGGCAACGAUGCAUAGCCGACCUGAGAGGGGGAUCGGCCACACUGGAACUGAGACACGGUCCAGACUCCUACGAGAGGCAGCAGUAGGGAAUCUUCCGCAAUGGGCGAAAGCCUGACGGAGCAACGCCGCGUGAGUGAUGAAGGUCUUCGGAUCGUAAAACUCUGUUAUUAGGGAAGAACAUAUGUGUAAGUAACUGUGCACAUCUUGACGGUACCUAAUCAGAAAGCCACGGCUAACUACGUG
rnacentral:rRNA from 1 species